rnacentral:lncRNA from 1 species
UAUAUAUAUAGUGCAGCUAUGGUGCUUGUAAGUUUUGUACCGUUAGAUCUACUCCUUAGAUCAUUUUCAACCAUUAAAUUAUACUAUUCAACCAACCACCCACUCAACCCUAGAGGGCCCACAUCAUCCUAACCGCAUAUCUCUUAAUUCAAUGGCUAAAAAUUUACAAGCACCAAUAACUUGAUACUUUUAAAAGUAUCAAGGCUCAAUUAUAUAUAUAUAUAUAUAUAAUGUAUUUUAAUUAUAUAUAGGCUUUAAUUUAAUUUGGACUAUUAUUGUUUGCCUAUAAAAUAAACCCAACAAGUACAACCGUGCAAUUGAGCCCAACUCUAAAUUUACAUAACACACUCUCUCUUUCAGACUUUCACUGUUGCACAUAACCCUAAAACAUGAUAACAUUCAAAUUCUCAAAUCCCUAAUUUUUUUCCCCUCUCUCUCUCUCUCUCUCGUUCUCCCUCAGACCCUCACCCAGUCAGGCAGUCACCCUAGCUCACAUUUCUUGCAAUUAUUUUGUAUUUUGAACUAUUGAACAUGUUGCAUCAAAUUGUAGAUAAUGUUAUAUAAAAAUUAAACUAUUGAUUAUAUAAUGUCAAGAAUUUCAAUAGGCUCGUUUAGAGCUCGAGCUCGGCUCGACUCGAAAUUAGGCUCGCUCGAACUCGACUCGAAUUAAUUUCAAGCCGAGCUUGAGCCUAGAUUUAGGCUCGAAAUUAAUUUCAAGCCGAAUUUGAGCUGACAUAAGCUCGCUCGAGCUCGGCUC